AUACAGAGGGUGCAAGCGUUAAUCGGAAUUACUGGGCGUAAAGCGCGCGUAGGCGGUUUAAUCAGUCGGAUGUGAAAGCCCCGGGCUCAACCUGGGAACUGCAUUCGAUACUGUUAAGCUAGAGUAUGGUAGAGGGAAGUGGAAUUCCAGGUGUAGCGGUGAAAUGCGUAGAUAUCUGGAGGAACAUCAGUGGCGAAGGCGACUUCCUGGACCAAUACUGACGCUGAGGUGCGAAAGCGUGGGGAGCAAACAGGAUUAGAAACCCCUGUAGUCC
rnacentral:rRNA from 1 species